rnacentral:sRNA from 1 species
GUGACACCUCUGGAGAGUGAAGUCCUCCAUUUAUCCACAGCACAGGUACAAAGUGGGCAGCCGUGGUACAACCUUCUCCCAAGCCAACUUAGUGGGACCAACCUCUAAACAUGAGAAGCUUCAGUCCUCCCUACCCAUUCAGUCUUCUGACUCU